rnacentral:rRNA from 1 species
CCCAUUGAGCUUUACUAUUAACUUGUAUUGCCAAAGCAAAUAAAAGGGAACUCUCCCUUGCUUUAUAAUAAAAUUGAGUAGACUAAGUGGGAAAAAAGGGAUGUUAGUCCCCUUUUUAUGGCCGAUUCAUUGGAUUGGGCCCCCAAAAGAUACCUUUUGGGGCCAUUGGCGUAGAGAGGGGGGAUCCGAUUUUCGGAUCGGCGCCGAAGGCGCCCAACCCUACUCGAUUUUUAUGAAAAACCACUCUUUUUAUUAGGAUUACUGGCUAAAACCGUACAAGUAAGGUAGUUUGGUUGGGGCGACCGCCUUCGAAAAAGUAUCGAAGGCGUACAUAAGAUUAAUCCGGGGGGGGUGUCCUUUUUUCACCCCCAAACAAACCGGGGGUAAUGCCCCAAAAAAGAUUAGUUUGACUGAGAGGGCUACAACCCGAACAGGCGCUUGGGGAUCGUUAGGAUCCCUGGGCCCGGUUUAUACCAAGGGGCCUAAUUGACCAGCGGGCUCCUUUUUAUUCCCGGGUCGAACCUAGCGGGUCAUAGUGAUCC